UACGAAGGGGGCUAGCGUUGUUCGGAAUUACUGGGCGUAAAGCGCGUGUAGGCGGGUCCUUAAGUCAGGGGUGAAAUGCCGAGGCUCAACCUCGGAACUGCCUUUGAUACUGGCGAUCUCGAGUCCGGGAGAGGUGAGUGGAACUCCGAGUGUAGAGGUGAAAUUCGUAGAUAUUCGGAAGAACACCAGUGGCGAAGGCGGCUCACUGGUCCGGUACUGACGCUGAGGUGCGAAAGCGUGGGGAGCAAACAGG
rnacentral:rRNA from 1 species